UAAGCCCCAUCAUAGUGUCUUUCCUGGGGGCAGUGAGCAGCUCAGAGGGGUCCUAUGUGGUCCUGCCAUGCAGGGCAGUGGGGGACCUCCCCAUCAGGUACACCUGGACCAGGGGACACUCCAUCACCCCAACCCUGGAGAGGCAUGUAGAUGGUGAGCCAGUCACAUUUUAAAUAAAACUUACACCUGCCAAGAAAGAUACCCUACCACAUUCCCUUAUGAUGGCAUAAAUCCAUUCUACUAGUGUUUACAGAUCUGAAGAGAUGAGAUCGGUGGUAAGGAGAAUAAUGAGAGCUUUGGUGAAUGUGUGACUGUGCCUUCAUGUGUGUGCAGAUGAGGGGGCUCUGCAUAUCUCCAGUGUUCAGGUGUCUGAUGCAGGGGACUAUCACUGUACCGCUGAGAACAUAGUGGGACGACAGCAGAGAAGAGCCACCCUCACCAUCUCUGCUGAAGAUGACCCAGCUGAUAGAGAAAGGCAGCAUAGACAGAUUGUAUCUGCAGUGAGUAAUAAUGAGGUUCCAAAGACUGAAGCAGAGCAGAGAACUCCCCUGUCCAGUAAUGACCGGAGUCUAGUUCAGCAUUCUGAGAUGACCCACUCACAUGUCUCCCGACAGGGAGGAAGCACAGUCCGAGCAACUCAAAGAGACUCAAGCAAUGACAUCCCCCAAGUGUCUACUCCUGACACUCUACGACUGCUCUCGUCUCUCAGGCAGACAGCUUUAGGACUAGCAGGUCUCUACAGAGGACAAACAGGACUGCUGGUUCCACCUGACCUUCACUCUCUGCUCCCAUUGGACCUGGCCUCGGCCAAUCCAACCCAGUCCCCAGUCACACAGAUCCAGCAUCCAGUGCUACAACCCCUACCUCCACCUCUAUUUGAACCCUUAGACCUACUCACCCAGCCUUCAGUAACUCAUAGAGUCAUCUCACUCACUCAGAUUCAAAUAAUACCUAACCAGCCAACAUUAACACACAACCCACCCCCAGUGACACAACGGCAGGUUUUAGUCCCAGAUAGCCAAUCUCCAUUAACACAGUCCGUAUUCCAAAGCCUCCACAACCAGCCAUCAGUCAUGCAUUUCCAGCGUCAAGUCACUGAGCAACCAAUUAAACCCCUAAACCACAUCGGCAGAUUUACCCAGUCUCUGGUCUCACUCCCGCAGCUUCCAGACUCUUCCAGCCACCCGUCUGAUUCCUUUACCCAGCGUCCUGAUUCUCUUACCCAGCCCAAAGAACCUUUGACUCAGUCUCUACUCAUUCACAGCCUGCAUGCUCCCGACUCAAUCGCUCAAACCCACCAUCCUGUACCUCAAAGUAAUCCUUCAGACCCACAUAUCCAGGAUCCUAGCACCAUCACCCUGUUUUCACGCUCACAAACCCAGACUCAACCAUCCAAAACUCAGCCUCAACCAUCACCAACCCAGCAUGGACCUACACAAACCCAGCGUACAGAUCUCCUCACCCAGCCUUCAGGCUCAAACACCCAUCUUCCUGACCUGAUCACCACACCCCUCACCCCUGACCCCCAGGGCCCUAGUGCCCCCUCUGCCUCCACCCCAUACCCCCUGCAGCAGAACACGAGCCAGCCUGCUAACCCAGCUCAUCCAGCCAAACCAACCAGGCCCAAUGACACAGAGCCCAUAGAGUGGCUGAAGAGGAACACCUCUCAGUCCCCCAUGAGGACCAAUGAGGACCCCAGAGUAAAGCCUCCUCCUCCGUGGCUUCCAGUGCUGGAGAAACAUGACAUCCCCAUCGUGGUGGGAGUGGGUGUGUCUAUGGCCUUCAUCUUCAUCACCAUGGCCUUCUACUCCCUGGUCCAGAAGAACGAGCCUGUCCCCACUAUUAGAACCUUGUCUUCCACAGUUCCCAGGAACCUGGGCGUCCCAUGCAGACAUGCUGAACGUCUGGACACUGGGAGGACCUAUGAGAACAGGGCAUUUGAGGAUGAUGAUUUGGUGGCUGUGAUUGAACAAAGCCCCAACACAUCAGAUACACGCGCCAGGCCUCCUGCCCCCAGCCCAGUCACUGUGAUGAUAGACCCAGCCUCUGAUGAGACACAGCCCCCGCACACUCCAGAACACUCGUUUAUAGCAGAGACCUAUCUUGAGCCCAGCGAAGACACACAGUUGCAGCAGCUGUCUGGAUCCUCUCCACUUCAGGUCGACCACUUCCUGGAUGAAGAGAAGGAAUGCAGCCUGUCUCACCCCAGUAUCCAGCUGCAGUGUGUGGAGGACUGGGGGGGCGGAGGAGUAGAAUACGGACAAUGCCAGGGCCAAGAAAUCCUACCCCAUCCCCCCUCUCUCUCUCCUUCCCCACCUCCUGUGCGUGAGGAAAGCCUGCGCUCCUCCCUGACCCUCCAGACAGCUGAGCCCUAUGCCACACCGGUCCGCCACAGUGUCAGUAUCUGCCACAGUAAUGCCCCCCUCCUCCUCUCCCACUGCAUCUCCCUGGGCCUUACCACCGUCGCUGUUGAUGUCCACUUCUACCCAGCAGCCCCUGCUUCCACCACCACGACAGUGGCAGCCGUCACCCAGAUCAAUGCUACUGCACCAGGGCCCCAGCUCAGCUCCCGAUUGGCUCACAGUCAGGAGCAUGACCAAUCGGCUCCUACCGUGCGCCAGAGUAAGUAA
rnacentral:lncRNA from 1 species